rnacentral:rRNA from 1 species
AUGAAUCGAGGGAGGGGAGGGAUUACCGCAGAUUUUGAUGGGGGCCUCGAGCUCCAGGAGGUUGGGCUGCGCGAGGAAGAUCUCCUUGGAGGCGGCGCAGAGCUGCUUGAUCUCCGACUCGGACAGCUGCGCGUUCUUCCCGGGCUUGAGGCUCUUCACCUCCAGCAGCCUGGCGAUGAUGUUGUCCAGCAGCGCCGGAUCCAUCCCCUUCUCCGUCAAUCAAGAGCUUCUCAACAACGGCGGCAGUUAAAAGAAGAAGAAGAAGAAAACAAAGCUAUCCCCGCAACAGCAGCGAAAAGGAAAGGAAUCAAGCACAGAUCGAGCAAAUCUCGCUCUGCUUUGCUCUUUUGGGGGAUUGGAUUGGAGGCGGCUGCGGGCUCGUGA